CGAGCGGCGGACGGGUGAGUAACACGUGGGUAACCUGCCCAAGAGACUGGGAUAACACCUGGAAACAGAUGCUAAUACCGGAUAACAACACUAGACGCAUGUCUAGAGUUUGAAAGAUGGUUCUGCUAUCACUCUUGGAUGGACCUGCGGUGCAUUAGCUAGUUGGUAAGGUAACGGCUUACCAAGGCAAUGAUGCAUAGCCGAGUUGAGAGACUGAUCGGCCACAUUGGGACUGAGACACGGCCCAAACUCCUACGGGAGGCAGCAGUAGGGAAUCUUCCACAAUGGACGAAAGUCUGAUGGAGCAACGCCGCGUGAGUGAAGAAGGGUUUCGGCUCGUAAAGCUCUGUUGGUAGUGAAGAAAGAUAGAGGUAGUAACUGGCCUUUAUUUGACGGUGAUUACUUAGAAAGUCACGGCUAACUACGUGCCAGCAGCCGCGGUAAUACGUAGGUGGCAAGCGUUGUCCGGAUUUAUUGGGCGUAAAGCGAGUGCAGGCGGUUCAAUAAGUCUGAUGUGAAAGCCUUCGGCUCAACCGGAGAAUUGCAUCAGAAACUGUUGAACUUGAGUGCAGAAGAGGAGAGUGGAACUCCAUGUGUAGCGGUGGAAUGCGUAGAUAUAUGGAAGAACACCAGUGGCGAAGGCGGCUCUCUGGUCUGCAACUGACGCUGAGGCUCGAAAGCAUGGGUAGCGAACAGGAUUAGAUACCCUGGUAGUCCAUGCCGUAAACGAUGAGUGCUAAGUGUUGGGAGGUUUCCGCCUCUCAGUGCUGCAGCUA
rnacentral:rRNA from 1 species